rnacentral:rRNA from 1 species
UCAAGCGAACAAGUGCAUGUGGUGGAUGCCUUGGCGAUCACAGGCGAUGAAGGACGCGGUAGCCUGCGAAAAGCGGUGGGGAGCUGGCAAACGAGCUUUGAUCCACCGAUAUCCGAAUGGGGAAACCCACUCCGAAUGGAGUAUCCAUGACUGAAUACAUAGGUCAUGUGAGGCGAACGCGGCGAACUGAAACAUCUAAGUAGCCGCAGGAAAAGAAAUCAACCGAGAUUCCCAAAGUAGUGGCGAGCGAAAUGGGACCAGCCUGUACUCUUUAUCUGAACUGUUAGCCAAACGCUCUGGAAAGUGCGGCCAUAGUGGGUGAUAGCCCCGUAGGCGAAAACAGAUUGGAAGAACUGGGUGUACGACAAGUAGGGCGGGACACGUGAAAUCCUGUCUGAAGAUGGGGGGACCAUCCUCCAAGGCUAAAUACUCGUGAUCGACCGAUAGUGAACCAGUACCGUGAGGGAAAGGCGAAAAGAACCCCGGGAGGGGAGUGAAAUAGAUCCUGAAACCGCAUGCAUACAAACAGUCGGAGCCUCGCAAGGGGUGACGGCGUACCUUUUGUAUAAUGGGUCAGCGACUUACAUUCAGUGGCAAGCUUAACCGAUUAGGGCAGGCGUAGCGAAAGCGAGUCCGAACAGGGCGUUCAGUCGCUGGGUGUAGACCCGAAACCAGGUGAUCUAUCCAUGGCCAGGAUGAAGGUGCGGUAACACGUACUGGAGGUCCGAACCCACUAACGUUGAAAAGUUAGGGGAUGAGCUGUGGAUAGGGGUGAAAGGCUAAACAAACCUGGAAAUAGCUGGUUCUCUCCGAAAACUAUUUAGGUAGUGCCUCGUGUAUCACCUUCGGGGGUAGAGCACUGUCAUGGUUGUGGGGUCCAUUGCGGAUUACUACGCCAUAGCAAACUCCGAAUACCGAAGAGUGCAAUCACGGGAGACAGACAUCGGGUGCUAACGUCCGGUGUCAAGAGGGAAACAACCCAGACCGCCAGCUAAGGUCCCCAAAUAUUGCUAAGUGGGAAACGAAGUGGGAAGGCUAAAACAGUCAGGAGGUUGGCUUAGAAGCAGCCACCCUUUAAAGAAAGCGUAAUAGCUCACUGAUCGAGUCGUCCUGCGCGGAAGAUGUAACGGGGCUAAGUCAUAUACCGAAGCUGCGGAUGCACAUUUAUGUGCAUGGUAGGAGAGCGUUCCGUAAGCCUGCGAAGGUGCGUUGAAAAGCGUGCUGGAGGUAUCGGAAGUGCGAAUGCUGACAUGAGUAGCGAUAAAGGGGGUGAAAGGCCCCCUCGCCGUAAGCCCAAGGUUUCCUACGCAACGUUCAUCGGCGUAGGGUGAGUCGGCCCCUAAGGCGAGGCAGAAAUGCGUAGCUGAUGGGAAGCAGGUUAAUAUUCCUGCACCAUUGUUAAAUGCGAUGGGGGGACGGAUCGCGGAAGGUUGUCCGGGUGUUGGAAGUCCCGGUCGCUGCGUUGGAGAAGGCACUCAGGCAAAUCCGGGUGCGCAAUUCAAGGGCGUGGCGCCAUUCACUUCGGUGAAGAAGCAACUGGAAGUGGUUCCAAGAAAAGCCUCUAAGCUUCAGUUUAACAAGACCGUACCGCAAACCGACACAGGUGGGCGAGAUGAGUAUUCUAAGGCGCUUGAGAGAACUCGGGAGAAGGAACUCGGCAAAUUGGUACCGUAACUUCGGGAUAAGGUACGCCCUGGUAGCUUGAUGCGCCUGCGCGCAGAGGGUGAAGGGGUUGCAAUAAACUGGUGGCUGCGACUGUUUAAUAAAAACACAGCACUCUGCAAACACGAAAGUGGACGUAUAGGGUGUGACGCCUGCCCGGUGCCGGAAGAUUAAAUGAUGGGGUGCAAGCUCUUGAUUGAAGUCCCGGUAAACGGCGGCCGUAACUAUAACGGUCCUAAGGUAGCGAAAUUCCUUGUCGGGUAAGUUCCGACCUGCACGAAUGGCGUAACGAUGGCCACACUGUCUCCUCCCGAGACUCAGCGAAGUUGAAGUGUUUGUGAUGAUGCAAUCUCCCCGCGGCUAGACGGAAAGACCCCAUGAACCUUUACUGUAGCUUUGCAUUGGACUUUGAACCGGUCUGUGUAGGAUAGGUGGGAGGCUGUGAAGCGUGAACGCCAGUUUGCGUGGAGCCAACCUUGAAAUACCACCCUGAUCUGUUUGAGGUUCUAACCUUGGCCCGUAAUCCGGGUCGGGGACAGUGCAUGGUAGGCAGUUUGACUGGGGCGGUCUCCUCCCAAAGUGUAACGGAGGAGUACGAAGGUACGCUAGGUACGGUCGGAAAUCGUGCUGAUAGUGCAAUGGCAUAAGCGUGCUUAACUGCGAGACCGACAAGUCGAGCAGGUGCGAAAGCAGGUCAUAGUGAUCCGGUGGUUCUGUAUGGAAGGGCCAUCGCUCAACGGAUAAAAGGUACUCUGGGGAUAACAGGCUGAUACCGCCCAAGAGUUCAUAUCGACGGCGGUGUUUGGCACCUCGAUGUCGGCUCAUCUCAUCCUGGGGCUGUAGCCGGUCCCAAGGGUAUGGCUGUUCGCCAUUUAAAGAGGUACGUGAGCUGGGUUUAAAACGUCGUGAGACAGUUUGGUCCCUAUCUGCCGUGGGCGCUGGAUAUUUGAAGGGGGCUGCUCCUAGUACGAGAGGACCGGAGUGGACGAACCUCUGGUGUACCGGUUGUCACGCCAGUGGCAUCGCCGGGUAGCUAUGUUCGGAAGAGAUAACCGCUGAAAGCAUCUAAGCGGGAAACUCGCCUUAAGAUGAGAUAUCCCCGGGGCUUCGAGCCCCUUGAAGGGUCGUUCAAGACCAGGACGUUGAUAGGUCAGGUGUGUAAGCGCAGUAAUGCGUUGAGCUAACUGAUACUAAUUGCCCGUAAGGCUUGAUCCU